GUGCGCAGUGCUGAAGUCGACGCACUUUUGUACGACCAUGAAUACUGUUGAAGCUAACACCAGAAAAAAAUCGCGCGAAUGAAUUACCACUGGCGCCUCAGCGCAGGUGACCACUAAACAAAAUAUCUGUAAAUGAUCAUGAAAAGCCCUUCCCAUCAAUUUAACCUGUUCUUACUCCCAGGAACAAUAUAUUCGAAAACAGCUUUAAGCUUUCCUGCAUUGUGUUGGUUAGAUAUAAAUAUCGCAGGAACAUACCUAAAUUUGCCCAGCUUACGAGCAAUUUCAAGCUAACAGCAAUGUCUAUCCCGUGCAUUCUGCUUAUAUUGAUCACAUGUGCUUCGAUUCUACCCGUGAAAGCGCAAGAGGGAACAGCAGCCGCAUAUACCCGAGCUGCUUAUCCGUCGUGGCCCUGGAAUUCUCCCGGAUGGCGUUGGUGUCCAUCAGGCCAAGUUUACAAGGAAUGCGAAAGCAGCAGCUGUGGCGAGUGGAAAUGCUAUCAACUAUUUCAACCAGGUGCCAGAGCUUGCACUAAGUGACUGCACAUCCGGGUGCUUCUGUCGUUGGGGCCUGUUCAGAAAUGACAGAAACAAAUGCGUACCCAUCUCGGGAUGUUUCAGACGCGCGAAUCGUGCGGAGUAAUUGGAGCAAAUCUGUCACAGAGCUGUACUUGUCCUUAGUACGCGGCAUCAUUAAAGAGAAUAAAUAUAUUGUGUCAGCCCCGUG